rnacentral:rRNA from 1 species
GACGAACGCUGGCGGCGUGCCUAAUACAUGCAAGUCGAGCGCAGGAAAUCAUCCGAACCCUUCGGGGGGACGUUGAUGGAAUGAGCGGCGGACGGGUGAGUAACACGUAAAGAACCUGCCCUCAGGUCUGGGAUAACCACGAGAAAUCGGGGCUAAUACCGGAUGGGUCAUCGGACCGCAUGGUCCGAGGAUGAAAGGCGCUUCGGCGUCGCCUGGGGAUGGCUUUGCGGUGCAUUAGCUAGUUGGUGGGGUAAUGGCCCACCAAGGCGACGAUGCAUAGCCGACCUGAGAGGGUGAUCGGCCACACUGGGACUGAGACACGGCCCAGACUCCUACGGGAGGCAGCAGUAGGGAAUCUUCCACAAUGGACGAAAGUCUGAUGGAGCAACGCCGCGUGAACGAUGAAGGCUUUCGGGUCGUAAAGUUCUGUUGUAAGGGAAGAACAAGUGCCGCAGGCAAUGGCGGCACCUUGACGGCACCUUGCGAGAAAGCCACGGCUAACUACGUGCCAGCAGCCGCGGUAA